rnacentral:rRNA from 1 species
GACGGAGGGGGCUCGCGUUGUUCGGAAUUACUGGGCGAAAAGAGCGCGUAGGCGGUUUAGUAAGUUGGAAGUGAAAGCCCGGGGCUUAACCUCGGAAUUGCUUUCAAAACUGCUAAUCUAGAGUUUAGUAGGGGAUGAUGGAAUUCCUAGUGUAGAGGUGAAAUUCUUAGAUAUUAGGAGGAACACCAGAGGCGAAGGCGGUCAUCUGGGCUAUAACUGACGCUGAUGCGCGAAAGCGUGGGGAGCAAACAGG